GCCUCCUAUAGGGCACUCGGCAGAUCUCCAGUUCAAUAAGACAUACCAACAAUAAGACAUACAACAAUUCACAUAGCAAGUAGUAUAUCAACAUCUGGUAUAAAUACACAUAUUAUUACACAGUAGCAGAUGCAUCUGUAUAUACGUAACUGGUAAUAUAGUUCACAUACAUUUUUCACAGCACGCUGCUCACACAACAGACUUUCCCCUAGCAAGGGGACAUACAACAUACAAGGUGGG
rnacentral:lncRNA from 1 species